UCAGCUCGUGUCGUGAGAUGUUGGGUUAAGUCCCGCAACGAGCGCAACCCUCGUCUUUAGUUGCCAUCAUUUAGUUGGGCACUCUAAAGAAACCGCCGGUGAUAAGCCGGAGGAAGGUGGGGAUGACGUCAAGUCCUCAUGGCCCUUACGCGCUGGGCUACACACGUGCUACAAUGGCGGUGACAGUGGGCAGCAAACCCGCGAGGGUGAGCUAAUCUCCAAAAACCGUCUCAGUUCGGAUCGUUCUCUGCAACUCGAGAGCGUGAAGGCGGAAUCG
rnacentral:rRNA from 1 species